UCCCAGACUGACUCCAAUAUCGGGUCUGGUGCCGAUACUACAUCAGACCGCUUCCAUAACUAGAACCCCGUCAUGGAAAGUGCAUGUGUCCUUCUCGACAGUUCCCUCAUAAAACAAUUUGAUGAUACGUCACCUUCACCCUUUUAAAUACCUUAAUGAAGUAUUUCUACUGCCAAUGCCACCUCUUAAUGUAAUUGUAUUUUUUUAUUUGCUUCAGCUCAUCCUUUUUUUAACUCUAAGACCCUAAAUUUGCCCUGUAAGUGGUCACAGUGACAGUAAACGAUUGGUUUCACUGGAAGGUUGCUCCACUCCCACAUCUCUUUGUCCUCCUCCUCACUUGUCUCCCAGCAAACUUUACACUGAAGCUGCUCUCAUUACAGCACAGAUUACAGACGCCUAUUGGUCCUCAUUAGUGGCCACUGAUCCUUGGCUCGGCCCAUGUCUUAACAUCUUUUAAUUAUAUUUCUGGAAAUCUAAUCAAUGUUAUAACUCAGAUUAAUCCCUCCCCCCCUCUUGCACUUAUUUUCUCCCCUUUCAUUUCAUGAUGUGCUUGGCUCGAAGGCUCAAAGGCUGUUAUGACGACGGCUCGUCUGAGGCUGCCAGCCUGCCAGAAAGGGGGCAGUGUUGCCAAAGGACAACUUGGUAUGUGAUGGAGAAGCUAGACUGACUACCUUCACAUUGGCAUCCCUGAGCCACAACAGCAGCCCAGAAAAGCAUCCCAACACCAUGAUGCUGCCACCGACAUGCUCCACUGAGGAGAUCGGCGUGUCCAGAGGGCAGGAGAGCCUCCAUAAGAAGACAGGAGAUGGACCCAGACGGCUCUCCAGGGGGAGCAGCACAUCCACGAACAUGCUCGAUGGCAGCUUUAUGGAUUUCAUUCAACUUAAAGAUUUUUUUUCUUGCUAUCAGCAGAGGCCAGACUCUCUUGCUGUUGAGUUUGGAUUUUCAUGGUGUUUGCGACAAGGGGCGAGGUGUAAUAAUCAUGAUAUGGCAGACAUAGGAGGCGCUGUUUUUGGGCUGCAUUAACAACUGGAGUUUAAAGAAAUGAUGCAGAUGAUGGCUUCCUACAGAGACGCAACAACAAACUGUUUCUUUGUCACAACAUUUCCUCCAGCCUAUUCGGUGGGAAAUUAUCUUAAAUUUAAAGUGUUUCUGAACAUAAAACGAGUGCUGAGUGCUUAUUUUGAACGCAUUUUAAGAAAACCGCUUCUUAAAAAUGGAUGAAUGGAUGGCUCCUCCAUCCAUCCAUCCAUCCUCCAGUCAUUUAUCAGAUGACACUCAGACUCGUGAAAUUAUUUUAUUCUGUCAAAGCACUCCGAACUGAAACUGUAACAAAUUAGAUGAAUUUGAAAUGUCUUCGCUACUUUUCAAAUCUGCUCCUCGCAUUUAUGCAGAAUUAUAUUUCCUCGGGUUGAUAUUUAGCUCUCUGCUAGCCGCCUGCUGUGGUAGAAGAUUUUGUCGGGGCCACAUUUUCCGACCUUUUGAUAUUAAUUUAAUGUGACAUUGGUCUUAAGCAGCUCUGCUCAAGUAUGCUCCCUGCAUGUACACAGCGGGGUUAUUACUGCUUUGAUGCACUUGAAUUUUAGGGACAUAUUACAGGGCGAAAAUGAUGAGAAAAUGACGUAAAAUAAUUACAUUUCUAAGAAAAGGAUUCGACCAGCAUUUAUGUUUACUUUAUAAAUUCUGGUGAAUUAUUUCACAAAUUUCAGCUGGAAUGUGUUCACCCCUGGUGUCUUCGUGUUUGCGCAUCUUGUUAAUCUGAUUUGCUCGAACAAAACAAGCCAUUGAAGGUUACAUGCGAGCGAACGCCGAUGUGUAGACUUUGCGCAGUCUGAAUCCCGCACUGCACGAUUUCCGCUUCCACGCCGGCUGCAGGCGAGCGAAACAAAAGGCUGCAGAUUUCAGCACCACAGAAGGUGGACAGCGCUGCUGGCCGCCUGUGUUGGGAUGGAAGGCUCCUAUUGCUCUAUUGAACACACACACACACACCCCACCACACGCUAGGAGCAUGUAUGCUCAGAUGGAACCAGAACUUCCGCAUAUGCAAUUACUUUAUUGUUUAAAAAAAAAACAAAAAAAAAACACAGGCAGUACAUAAAUUAUAAACUUUAAAAAAAAAAAUACAGUUCAAUGAGUUCAUGGUGUCCGUGAUGUCGUUUCGAAGAGAGGAGGAUCAUCUCUUGGCAUUCACCGCGUGCCUUAAUUGUAAGACAUUAAAUCAAGGUCCGCUGUGAACACGGAGAGACGCAACCCGCUGCUCAGAGAGGUUUGCACAGAAACAUACGAGUGCUGUCUCUCUGUUUCAGGAAAAACAAAGACAACUGGAAGAAACCUCUUUUUGCGCCUGUAACCUUAACAUUCUGCAGCCGCCCUGGCCUGCAGACCGAAAACGAGGGGGGAAAGCUCCUUUUUUCUUCUUCUUUUAGCAAAGAUCUGCCUGUAUUCAUGCAUUUACCUAAGUAGGUGAAGUUACAAGGCAAAUAAGACAUCUUUGAGGGCAAAUUAUUAACCGUCCCAGGCAGCUUUUGCAGAUGAGCAAAGGACUCCGUAUGCAGUGUCCAAAGCAGCAGACAGCAUAGAUGUCCUCCAUUAUUCCAUAAUGUAACCUACGGGGAUGAAGACAAAAAAAAAAAAAAACAAAAUGCGCCAUGAGCCUCAAAAAUUAAGUGCAAGUAUUCCACAUUCACAACUUAGAAACAAGUCCACAAAAAAUGAAAAAGAAAAAAGAAAAGAAAAACUUUCAAAGAAUUCGCUUUUCUGCAUAUUCCUAGAAAAUGCCGCAAAUCUCAAAAUGGGGCAGUAACUGCGGAAUCCUCAUCUUCGCUUUUCUUUUUUUUUCUUACGUGCAAAUGAACGGAGACGCAGAGACCGAACCGUGCGCACUGACACCUGCUAAAUGGGACUGAUCGUCUCCCCGUCCGGUCUCCUCCCCCUCCCCCCCCAAUCUGACUUUGGGAUUAACGAUGCUCCAGCCAAACAAAUGAGGAAUCUGCCUUCAGCAGAAGAGGAUUGGGAUGACGGGCGGAGAGAAGGGGGGGGGGGGGUGGCAGUUGGUGA